CCUACGGGUGGCAGCAGUGGGGAAUAUUGGACAAUGGGGGGAACCCUGAUCCAGCCAUGCCGCGUGUGUGAAGAAGGCCCUCGGGUUGUAAAGCACUUUCAGUGAGGAAGAACGCCUGGUGGUUAAUACCCAUCAGGAAAGACAUCACUCACAGAAGAAGCACCGGCUAACUCCGUGCCAGCAGCCGCGGUAAUACGGAGGGUGCGAGCGUUAAUCGGAAUUACUGGGCGUAAAGCGCGCGUAGGUGGCUUGAUAAGCCGGUUGUGAAAGCCCCGGGCUCAACCUGGGAACGGCAUCCGGAACUGUCAAGCUAGAGUGCAGGCGAGGAAGGUAGAAUUCCCGGUGUAGCGGUGAAAUGCGUAGAGAUCGGGAGGAAUACCAGUGGCGAAGGCGGCCUUCUGGACUGACACUGACACUGAGGUGCGAAAGCGUGGGUAGCAAACAGGAUUAGAUACCCGAGUAGUC
rnacentral:rRNA from 1 species